AGGGUUAGGAAAGCCCGUCUUCCCAAGAGGUAGCACCACAAAGCAAGGAGUGGCAGACAGCUCCCCUUUGGUCUGCAUCCCCAAACACUUCAUUCUGGUCCAGGAACGUGCCUCCUGAGAGCUCUGCACAGCUGGGAUCACCCAGGUGGGGUUUUAACUCCUGCAAGAAGUUACACCACUAGCUUAGCAAGGGGUUUCUUUCCACCCUCAGUUCUUUCUUGGUGUUGGUGUGCUACGGGGCUUCACAAAAUUGUGUUAGACCUUGCAUGUCUGAUCUGGCUCUGAGCAGGUCUUCUUGGUCCAUUUUCUGCAGAUGGUGAUGCACUGCCACAUUUUGCAAAUCGUUUCUAUUCCUUUAAUCCCUGCACCUCCCUCACUCUGCUUCUUAAUAUGCAUAAAGGAGCAAGAAUUCCCUCUAUGAGUAAUUAUUUACCUAAUGCAGAAAGAGUCCAGCAAACAUUAACAGGAAAACAAAAGCAGAUCAGAAAUACCAGGCGUUCCCGACUCUCCACGAGCAUCAAAUCCCUGCUCCUGUUACCACUUAUUGAUUGCCCAUUCUUGCAGUCAAGAAAAUAUAUCCCAGGGCACUGCCUUGUUGGCAGAGCCUUGGAGCUGAAGCUGAGUCUCCCUGCUGCAUUUUAAGGUCUCCAGGCUGUUGUAGCUGUCCCCAGAGGCUGGAGAGCAGCCAGCUGGCUGGAGCAGCUGCUGGCCAUGCAGGAGGUCCCACACACUGCAGUGCUGGGACCCUGGCAGGGGGAGGUGAGUGUGUUUCUGCCUGAAUAGAUGGUCUCGGGGCUCAUGGCAGUUUUGGGUGGUCCAUUGUUGUUUCUGUGCCCCAGGCAGGCUUUGAGCAGAGGUUCCCCUGCUUGCCACAGCCUUUUAGUGCAGUGCUGGAGAGCCUGACAUUGAAGGCUCUUUUCUCACAGCCUGGAGGUGCCUCCUCAUCUUAAGGCCUUCAGGGCCAAACACUGGGCAAAGCAUUGAAGUCCUGCCUGGUCAAAGAGCUGAAGGAAGGUACAAGGGCUUUACUCCCAGCUCAGACUCUUUGUUUCCCGAGAUGCCCAGAGACUCUUUGUAAGCAGGAGCAGCUGUUUGCCGGUGAAUGCCAGUGUAACCCUAAUGUCCUGAUUUAAGGGAAUAAUCCAUCAAGUUGUUUGUUUUCAGACCUCACUAGCUGCUGAAAAAUCAGGAGAGUCUUAGAGCCAAGUGCUAUGUGCUCAGCUGAAGAUGGAUGUGGCAAUCAGAGGUAAAACGCUGCUCCAGUGAGACACAGGAUGCUCUUGGGGGGCGGGCAGGGCUUUGUGCUGCUCUCUGGAGAUGCUCUUCACAGGGACAGAGGCAGGGAGAGCUUUGGGGUGUGUCCAAAAGCAAUGACUUCUCCAGGAUUUGCUCCAGGAAGGAGUCGAAGUAGCUGUUGACCGUUUCGAAGCCGUCCCGGAUGGUGUCGAUGCCCCAGUCGGAGUAGGAUGACUCUUCCUGUGGGUCCUGGUGGCCGGUGCUCUCCCGUGCUGCCCCCUCGGAGCACUGCCCCGGCCCCAGGCAGAGGCACAGCAGCGCUGCCCGGAGCAGCAGCCUCAUGCUGCAGUCCAGCUCGGGAGCAGGGAGCAGUGGGAUCGAGCUGCCCUGGGUGGGAGGCGGGAUAUUCAGCCUCACUGUGUUGCUGCUUCUGAAGGGCCAGAGCCCCGUGGUAGUGCCUGUGUCUUUCUGGAUAUGACCAUGUGUGAUGUGCUCUAGACUUGGGAUGAAGGAGGAAGGACCACAGCCAAGUCUUGGUUUCCCAGGCAGGUUCCUGAUGGCCACGAAUUAAGCAGGAGCUCCACUGCUCCCGAGGGUGAAGCCCAGGAAUGGCUGUGGUCUAUAAACCACUGAGGGUUUGGAUAAGGAAGAUGUCAGCCUAACCUUCCUACACGGAAGUGGCAGGAGUUACCUGCAGCCAUGGAGCUUAUGAAACUAAAAAAGAUGGGAAGAGAAAAAAAGAAGACCAUGGAUAGGAAUGGAGAUGGACAAAAAAGGGAGAAAACUCAGCCUCCUAAGGCACGACUAUUUUGAUUAAUGAAGGUGGGAACGUGCCCACCCCCCUGCCCGAGGAGCAGAUGGAAGAGCUGGCUGCUGGGACAGAACAAAAGCAGCAUUUGUUCACGUGGACAAACAUUCCAGAGGUGG